UACGGAGGGAGCAAGCGUUAUCCGGAAUCACUGGGUUUAAAGGGUGCGUAGGCGGCUUAAUAAGUCAGAGGUGAAAGGCUGUGGCUCAACCAUGGGAUUGCCUUUGAUACUGUUAGGCUUGAAUCAGGCUGAGGUUGGCAGAAUGUGGCAUGUAGCGGUGAAAUGCAUAGAUAUGCCAUAGAAUACCGAUUGCGAAGGCAGAUGACUGGCCAUUGAUUGACGCUGAGGCACGAAAGCGUGGGGAGCGAACAGG
rnacentral:rRNA from 1 species